CGCAUCAGGCACAAGCCAAUGCUCGCCUAUCUGCUGAAUGGAAUGAGCAAUUAGAGGGUGGAAUAUUAUUGCGAUCUUAACGAGGCUCGUUAAAGCUAAAGAAGAUAUGUAGACUGGAGAUGCUUAGCAGAGACGGGCGGGGAGGGAGGGAGGCAGAGGGAGCUUUAAAUGGGUGACAAAUGGACAACCAAUGACUGCAACUCGGGAAUACACGUUUUGAAUAGAAGCGAGUCAAUUUGCACAUUAUUUUCGCAUAGCUUUUCCUGUAGUAGCUACUUUUUUAUCUUUCCAUCAGUCCAUUCAUUUUUUUCUCUUGUGCGAGGCUUUAGAGUGUUCUAGCUGCAUUUUUUUCCCAAACAUGUCAUCGCUUUCUUGUUUUCUGAAAUAUCAGACACAGUCCUGUAACCGUUUGACUUUUGCCCCGGAUUCGUCGGUGAUUUUAUCAUAUUUUACCAAAAGAAAAAGAAAUUUUUUCUGACAUGAUCUCGGCUGGCUGGUGUGUGUGGUCACUCGGUGCUGUUGGUCCGGGUGUCUGCAGCAGUGUGAUGCCGCUCCCCCUCCUGCUGUCCCCGGCCCCUGCCUCCGGGACGCUGGGUGCAGCCCUGGCCCCCUGCCCGCUGCCUUUUCUCUCCAACCAACAAAUUUAUUGUUUAAAAUGAAUAUCGAUGCGCACCGUUGUGUUGAUUAAACACAGAUCAUGGCAUUGUAGAACUAAUUUACCAGCGCCCUUUUAGCUCUUUAUUUUUUUUCUCCAUUGUCCGGCCCUCUAAUUAAAACCAUUAGUAUUAGAAUUACAAUCAAAUGGCAACAUGAAAGCUUCUUGGGCACAUAAAAGCAGUUUUCAUGUAUUUGAUCUAGUGGUAAGGACAUGAUCAAUGUCCACAUCCAGUCACAGGAUUCGGCUUAUAGCGGUAGCCACGGCGGUGUGAUUUUCAUGUUUAUGGCUAAAACGGCUUCAUAUUUAGACAGGGCUUACAGGGUGUUAAAAUAGUGUGAGUUCACUCUAACACGAACAGUGCUCACAUUGUGAAAGAGCCGUGUACAAGGCGUAGCAUCUAGACUCCGCUUAAUCCGCCCUCAAUAAAGCUGACAUAAUGAUCCUAAGCCGCCUUUCUACAAAAUCAUUCAGGAAUUCAAAACUUUUCCUUCCCUCUCCGAUUUGCACAUUCUCCGGGGCUGACCAGAUAGACCACCGACUUCAAGCUUGGAGGGACAUUUGGCAGAGGCUGGCCAGAAAAGGCAGCACACCCCUCCCUUACAAACACAGGAGAGACUGUGUGCCUGCUGCUCCAUCCUGGAUUCAUCUCAACAAUACACAGGACAAGACUUUGGAGAAAUGAUGGGGCUGUGACCACUCCACGGACUGUCACCAUUUGCAACUGGAGGUGGCACCGGUUCACUGCGAUUUCACUGCUCGAUGUGUCCGAGAUCGUGAUGGAAAUUCUGCUGCGGCUCCUGUAAGUUCUGUCACCUGUAAGCUGACUCGUUUCCGUCUAGGAUGGUGCCGUAAUAAUGUUCCGUAAACUGCGAGUAUUUUUUUAAUCGUUUUUGCGGAUAUUUCUUUAUUAAAAUAUUUAUAAAAUUGUUUUUAAAAUCCCAUAGGGCCUUUUAGUUUGAACCAGAAGACGUCUCCUUUUUUAAUGUGGUGUUUUUGGCAUUUUUAAUCACCGAGCACCGGGCAGGAUCUGCGCAGAUGUGUGAUGCUGUCGGGUUGGGGCGCACAAUCCCCUCCGUCCCAUGCUGGCCAUUCCAGGGUACGGAGACUCGACACUGUGUCUACACUGUAAAAAGUAUCAACCUCAAAAAGUCGUUUAUUGUAACACUGAGUUUUAAAAACGGGCGUUUCUGUUUUGUAUCCAUCAUUCGUUUGGUAGAAACGUGCACAAAUCCUGGUAACCGGUUUGUGAUUAUUUUAUGUUUCCAUAUGGACUUUUUCCAUAACAGUUUAAAAUCAGUGUCAAUUUCUGAAUUGUGAUGGAGAUUUUCCAGGUUGAAUAUAUUCUGAUUUGUUCCAAGAGGCUAACAUUUGUUUCUGGAAAACAUCUGCUGUGCGUAAAAAUUCGUCUUUAUGCGUAAAAAUUGCCACUGGCAGAUUUUCAUUGGAUUUGCGGAGAACAUGGUAAAAUCAAGACUGAAAUUUUAAGAUAUUUUUUGCAGUGCAUUAUCUCCUACUCCCACAUGAAGCCUAUAACAAGCUCCUAUAACAAUUUUAUUCUAUUUUUUCCUCUUUAAACCCGUUCCAAACUGAAAUUACGCAUGCCAUUUUGCCUAUAAUUUACUUGACAUCCAGUGCCAAAACCCACUGAGUCUGCUGCAGCGGCUUUAAAGUGUGAACAGUUGCUAAAUUAUAACCACAGGUGCAAUAGGUCACCGCUCUGUUUGUGGAAGCUGCACUAAAUACAACACCGCCUUCAUUUGGAAUUAAGGAAAUGGAAAAACGCGACGAUUGAAUAUGCAGGUUUUUGUGCAAUUGUUGUCACAAUGAUCAGUAAAUGUGGCGCCAACUUUAACAGCUAAGCUUGUACAAAAGUUUUUAACAUCUCUCUCUCUCCCUGUGUGUGUCUCUCUCACUCUCUCUCUCUCCCCUUUCCCUCCCUCCUUCCUUUUAUUGUUUUUAUUGUGUGGUCUCAUUAGGGGGACUUCCUGGCAGGGCUGGGAGCUUGUAUCGGAGCUGUCCAAUCAGUGUAUUUACACGGGUUGUUAGCGACAGUUAAUGAGGGCUCCUCCCCGGGCCGGUAGAGAAAGGCGCCUCAACAUUAAGAUUUACCUUGUGUCAACUCGUUACUUCUAAUGAACCUCCAUGCAAAAAGCCUCGUCGUACUCAAUGGAGCCGUGCGCCCGGAUCUUGUGUUUGAGACCCUGGAAGAGUGGAGCUGCAAGCCGGCCUCCCUCUCCCCCAUCCUUUUUUCUUCCGCUCACUCAGGGAGAGUUGCUUUUUCUCUGCAGGUCCGGGUCUGUGAUGCAUGCAUGCCGUGUGUGUGCGUGUGUGCGUGCGUGCGCGUGCGUGCGUGUGGACAUGUGUGUCGAAUGAAGGUGGGUGGUGCACACAGCCUACUGUUCAUAAAAUGUCACGUUAGUAAACCCAAAUCUGCACAAUAACGCCUCAUUUUAAUCCGUUUUAAAUCAACGCAUUGCAGACAAAAUUGUGUUAAAACGGAAAUAUUUUCUAAAAGCUGUUUUCUAAUCAUCUCUUCAAGGGUCAUCAGAGACGAUCAGGACGGUGUUUGCAUGUCCAUAUCACAAAAUAGGUCCUCUAAUUGUGUGUUGACUGAGGCCUGACCUGUCAUCUUGUUGCCUCUGCAGAAGUAAGUUCAUUUAGAAUCGUCCUCCAGCCCCCCACGGGAGCACCGAGCGCGGAUCGGACUCCGGCCCCUCUGUCCACCCCUCGUCUGGCCCCCAGUGUGGCUUGUUGAGCCGCAUCAGCAACACAUCACUGCCCCUCAAUUCAGGUACAAACUGGAGGAGUUUGGCAGAUCCCUGAAGUGGACUCUCCUCUUUACUCUGCUAAACCACAGAGACACCACUUAAAAAUCAAUUAGGCUCGUCUAGUCUCUCCCUGCGCGCCAGUCAUCAUUUCAAAAACACCAAAUUUUGGGAGGGAUUUAAACUAAAAAACCCAACUUGGAUUCAUUAUUUAAUUUUAACGUGGGUGCAGUUGCACCUUAUGACCACUCUGAAUUUCUACUACCACUACCGCCACGCUGCUGUCUACCUUCAUGAGAUAAUUUACUCAUUUAAGUUGCUUUAUCUGAUAGAUUUUGUGCCGAGCUUCGCCUCUGCUCAAGCUGUGACUAGUAAAUAAAACAUUCCCUCUGACAGGACCUUUCGAUAUGAAGAGCGCUUACAAACUGUUACACAAUAUGUUUGCACAUGAUAAUGGGGUUUACCAUUUCGUAGACAAAUCUACAUCCAGCAGCAGGUGACAAAGUGGCUUCUAUACUCCCGGUUGUUGGCACUUUGUCACCUGCUGGUGAUAGUGACAGAAAACAGUUUGGUUUCCAUAUUCUUCUAAAGACACAAAACUGUUCCUAAAAUCCAUCUGAUCACUUACACAACCUCCUCCUUCAUGCCGGUAAAAUGCGUAUUUUCUCGUGUCGUCUCUUUCCGUCGCCCGGUCCUCCGUGUUGCAGGGAGCAGCAGCGCUGGAGGAGGCCGCGUGUUCACUCUUCCAGGUAGAUGGGCUGAUUUGGAGACGGAAUAAAUAUAAUGGGUGCAUAUCAGAUGCAUGGCCCCGAGCUUUACAUAUGAUGCUCACCUUCCAUUCCCCGAUGACUUCUGCUUUUUUUUUUACAGAUCAAAUCCAAACCUUCUCCACUCUCUCAGCUUUACUUCAGCCACUCUUGUGCAUCGCCUAUUAGGCUGCACGUUUAGGCCCAAAAUCUGCACUUUGAGGCCUGUAAAGUGUCCAGAGUUACAACAGCACACAUGUUGACAGAAUGUCUCUCUCUCUCUCUUUUUUUUUUAAGAAGAGACUGUUUUGGAUUUGGCUGUCCAGGCUGAUUACGCGCAGCGGCUCUCAGAUGCAGAUCGGAGCUGUGGCCCUUUAGCCCGCUGUCACCGGAGCUGACGGGCUGUAAUUACUGCGGCUGACAUAUCGCUCUCAGAGCUCACUAAUGUGAGGGACGUGGACAGCGCAGGCAGCUCGUAUACGGUGGAGGCUGCUCAACUCUUUGGCCACGGAGUCGCUUGAGAUGCAGGCGGGCUGCAGGGCCACAUGCUCCUGCUGACCUUCUCCAUUUUAACAUUUGAGUAGUGAAGCAGCCUCUUAUUUAUGAGCCAGUGAUACGGUGGAGGAGAUCACAAGGCUGCAAGUGAAUGAAAACCACGAACAGGAAACCAGUGGUGGAAAGUAAUCAAGUACAUUUACUUUAGUACCUUAUGUGCAGUUCUAGUGUGUUUGUACUUGACUGGAGUGGGUUCAUUUACUUCUACUCCACUAUUUAAAGUGUUAGCUACUUUACAAAUUAAUAUUUUACGCACUAAUAUAUCAUAGCCUUCAAAAUAGUAGGCAAUGAUUAAUAUUAAGCGAUACAACAGUUGUCACCUUGAGCUUCUUGCAUGUUAAUUUAUCAGUUAUUAAUUCAAGCAAGCAGAAGUAACCUCUCUGUAUCAGAUGUAAAACUACUGUAUACAUUUGAGGUUCUUGCUCUGCUUUGCAUUUUGUGCUGCACUUCAGAGAGAGACAUUGUACUUUUUACUUCCUUGCAUUUAUUUGACCGCCAGACAUUUUCACCUUCCCAAACUACAAGAUUAAUCAAAGCAUUUUACUGCAUAAAUGACCAUAUUUCAGCUUGUAAAUACAUUUUUUAUGACAAAAAAAUGUUCCUUUUUGCAUUGUGAGCACUUAUAUGUUGAAUCGUUUAACACUUUUGCUGAUAAUUCAGUAAAUGCGACACUUUAGGCUUCACUAAAUGCAAACUUUAAGGGUCUGUGUUUCUUCUUGUCGAUUAAAAAUAUUUACCAUUAAAUGAUGAGAGUGAUAGAUGUUUCUAUUAGAUGAGCACGGUAUUAUUAGUCAUAAACUAGUAAAUAAUCUCUGUUGCUGUUUGUCACAGUCAUUUAAUUCCUCCCACAACAAGCAGAAUUGAAGUUUCUCAGCGGUUAAAUUCAAUAAUUUCAUCAAGGCUUCAUUUUGUAGUCAGUCGCUGUGAAAUAUUUACAGUUCCACGCUGAGUUUAGGUGUGAAGGGAGCCGCAGUUCUGUCAUUGUCUCACAUUUUGGUUGUUGCGCUGUUUGCUUGGCACCUAAACGAACAAAUCCGACGUCUCUCCCUCUCUGUCUCCCUGUGUCUCUCUCUCCCUCUCCCCUCCUUGACUGCAGCUUUUGACAUUACUCCACUCGAUUGCCCGUUUACCCCCAAGUCAAGUUUGAGGCAGGCAUGAAGUGUAAAAGAGGUGGGCCAUGUCAUAUCCGCUCAGUGUGCAGGGGAUUGUUGGCCUGCGCGCCGCUGAUCAUUGUUCAGGAGAACAAUCCAGGCAGGAAGAAGGCAGCAUGUCAGAAAACCUGCAAGGAAAGUUGCAAACUGAGGCUGCUUGGACAUUAUUUGCUCAUAGUUUUUUGUUGUUGUUUUUUUGUCUCAUUUUACAGCAGUGCAGUCCGAAUGAGAGCAGGGUGUGUUUACAUGUGGAUAGAUUACUUUCAGUACAUUUAGGUUAGGACUGUUUUUCAUUAAAACUCUGCAAUCUGGAACAUUUAUAGAGCUGGACUUUGAAAAGAUCAUGUGACACUGAUCUAAAGGUAUUGCUAGCAUUGAUGAGAUUCAUCCCAUCUGCUUUAAUGUGUUACAAAAACACGUUUUCCCUUCAACUGGCCAACUAUGUGCUAAAAUUAUUAUCAAAAAAGACUUUCAAGAAAUACUUUGAAUACAUGUUAUUAAUUUAUAUAUUUAAUAUUUAUUAAUGAUUAUGUAGCCUAAAAUUACUUUUUAGUUUCUUUGUAGAGUUAUCUUUUCAGGAAGGUAUUCCCACGAUGUUCUUUUCGGUUUGGUUUUUGCUGCUUGGCUGUUUUUGUGUUUCUGCUUCAUAGUUCCCCCCCUCCUACAUAAAAUUAAAUUUAAUUUCUAUCCGGUUUUAAUCCUAUAACGUCAAUGGACAACAUAUGUCACCUCCAGGCACUUUACAUAGGAAGGAUUUUACAAAAAGAAUCAACUGCAAAUAUAUCCAAAGGUUCUUUUCGUUUCCCUUUACGCAGCAUUUGGCACCUUUUGAAUGUAGAAAGUGCAGCUGAUUCUUCAGCAUCUAACUGGUCUAGAUGUUUCUCUGCAGCUCACAUCACUGUUUUACUGAUUGAUUCAACAUUUGGCUAAUUGAUCCCCAAACCUGGUUACCCGAGGUGGUUGCUAGGCAACAGAUUAGUGCCGGUGUAGUCUCAGGUGUACUUCUUAUCGAGUUCAUCACCACUGCUUGGGCUCAGCAGCCAAUCAGAGAAGGUGCGGAGCGGAACUAACCGUCCUGUACCUGGAUAUUAGCUUACAGGAUAAUAACGGAGGGACGAGGAGCCGUUUAUUCACGGCUGAGCUGCGCCCGUCCGGUCUGAUCUGUGUCCACGACUCAGUUUGGCUCGACGGAUCAAUAGAUGGUGUCUGGGAGAGGUGAGGGGGAGAGAGAGGAAAGGAAAGCUGCAACAGGUCGGUAAGAGAAUGAUCCACAGAGCACAUCUGCGUAAAACCAACUUCUAUGGAAUUUUACACACGGACAGUUUGUGUUAAAUAACAAAAACUAAGACUAGUUUCUGUAAUAAAAGUCUCUUAUUUAUGAGCUAGUAUUGUGAUAGAUGACGUAAUAAGGGCUGUGUAUGACUGAAAAACAUCAUGCUGUGAUACACAUUAAACAGAAAACUAGUGGCAGAACGUACCUGACUACAUUUAUUUCAGUAGUUAUGUGAACUUCUGUUGCACUCACACUGGACUUGAGUGUUCCUCAUUCAUUUGACAGCUGUACAGAUUAAUGUUUUACAACGAAAUAUUUUAUCAUCUAAAAAAGUCUGAAGUUUUAAUUCAUGUGAAGUUAUUCAGCAGUAUAUAAAGAUGUAACAGUUUACCCUUGUGCUCCCAGCAGGUUCAUUUAUCAGAAUUAGUCUUUCAUUCUGCUAUAGCAGAGGUAAAGCCACUGUAUCACUGGAGAGUGACUGAAUACUUCUACUCAAGUAUUGUACAAGUUUGAUUUACUUUCACUAGUCUCCCUUUUAUGCAGUUUUACACUUAAUCUCUAUUAAAUACACCAUUUUUUGUGGAAAUGUUUCCUGCAGACAGUUUAUUUGUGCUGGCAAAGUGUUGCUUUUAUUAUUUAACUACUAAAAGCAACAUAGUAGCCUCUUAGUUAUGAUCUCGUGAUGUAAAUGAAAAACAGCAUGUUGCAAUACUUUAAAUGAAUAUAAAAGUAUAAAGUAACACAGUGCAUUUACUGAAGUGAUGUACUUGAUUUGAGUGUUUCAAGUUCAUUUCUCUUUACUCCGCUAUUUUUUAUUCUACAAAAAUUCAGGUUAAAUUGUUCAACUGUAUGUAAAGUUGUAAAACAGUUUCACCUUGAGCUAAAUACAUAAAGAACAUCAGAAACAGCUCAGGUAGCCACAGGAAGGCGACUGAGUACUUUUACUAAAGUAUUGUACAAAUUUGAUGCACUGCUUUUGUUUUAAUGUUGUUUUAUACUUCAUGUUCUCUGGGGAAAAGUCAAUUUAUUUUAUCAUCAUUUUGAUUUAAAAAAAAUAGCAAUCUGCAUGCAUUAUAAAUUUUGGGUGGAAUAAUCCUGGAAAAUAAGAAUUUAUUGCUAUAAUUAUCUUUAUUAUUGCUAUAGUUUUAUAAUUAUUGCCUGAGAUUAUUGCAGGAAUUUAUGUAAAUCUGUACAAGAAUGAUCAAACACAUCAACCAAAGCUGCCAUUUGAACUGGAUUCUGACCAUUACGCAUGAAAAGAGCGCAAUUCUGCGGCCUGAAAAUGAUAUUUUCCUCCUUAACUUCUGUCCGUGUGUCUGCGUGGAAGCAGAAUGUCCUCCUGGAUCAACUCUUUGGUUUCCAGACUGAGCAUUUUGCCUGCUCACGGUGCCGAUUGGCUUCUGCAGUAUCAGUAGUUUGUAUCAGGUCUGUGCGCUCACCACGCACACCCACUGGCCGCUAUUGAAACCAUAAAUGUUUCCAUACACACGUGUGCUGCUGGAAUCAUCGGAGCCUGCAUGCGUGUAACCUGCCAUCCAUCUCCUCUGUGCAGCUCACAAAAUAAAACCCCCGAAGUGCCACCCAGACCACACAGCCUCCUAAUAUUCCAGUAACAGAACGUGGAGCUGACCUAUAUCCGCCUGCCACAUAUUCCAGCUUUGUUACUGUUGUUCAUUCAUUAUUCAGGUGGCGAUGAUUGGCUCUGGAUGGCAGAUGUCAGAGCGUGAUGGAGAUGUUUGUGUUUGACUGAUUUAAGGAGCCAUUAUCCCGCCCGCUUAUCAAACAUUCAUGUGUGGCAGCUGUAGUUGUGGAUCUGCCCUCCGCAGUGUCUCCUGUGGCCGCUUCGUUUCUCUUCUUAAGCAGCCACGACCUUUCCACUCAGUUAACCUAUUAUCUUUUAACAUUUAAGAGGCAGCUCAGCUCCUUCUGCGGAAAGAAAACAUCUGAAAGCAUCACAUAUAGGCUCUAUAUCAUAGGGAAAAAAAUGCAUAUGAUAAACCAAACCCUUCAUAGCAGAGAAUAUAGAUCGUUUUCAAUUAAAAAAUGAGGCUUAAUGUGUCCAUUAAACGACAGAAAAAAUACCACAAAUAGCGCAGAAGGUUAUAUAUAACGUUAAUACGACUUAAAAUCAACAAACUAUCAUGAAUCAUGAAUAAAAAUGUAAAAAAUCUGCCACAUAAUCUCACUAUAAGCGACAAAGCACUAAGUUAGACGAAUUUUACACUAACCUUUGCUUAAAGGUAUCGAUUCCAUUCAAACAAUUAGUCUUUACAGCUAACUGCACAUUAGUAAAGAUCACAAGAAAAUGGUUUGACUGUAUAGACGGCAAUUAAUUCUGUUGUGAAUCAUCAGAGGCAUCAUUAUUAUUAUUUUAAUCAUUUAAUAUGCAAGUACAUUUAAACUAAUUGUAUUCUUUGCAUAUUGUCUCAGAUUUAAGUUGCUUUUGUGGCGUAAAGGCUUCUUGUAACAAACCAAAAGGCAAUUUAAAUAAGAAAUAAGUCCCUUUUUUGAUAUUUUUUCUUAUAGUAUAACAGUACAAGUGGAGACUAAAGUGGAGGGAAUUAAUGAGCACGAAACACUUAUUUCCUGCAUUCUGGUGAAUGGUUUUUGCUCUAAUUUUCUGCACCAAUUUGUGUUAGAAAUGUCUUUAAUUAUGCAAAGAAGUCACUAAAUACAGGCACAGUUUGACAAAUCAAAAUGUAAUGGAAUAUAAUGAACUAAGAGUCUCAGGGAGUUUUAAAUAUUUAUUCUGCUGUAGAUCAACUUUUCUAAUUUAAUAUCAUCCCUGCUGGGUAGACACACAUCUCAGCAUCAUUUAGACUUUUUUCUCUUGUUUUUUGAAAGUUGCUUCUUAAAAUUACUUUAAAAUGAAUUCUUUUUAAUUCAUUUGUAAUCAAAAAUCAAUGUUGAACACUAAUAACCAAGAAACACGAUGGACUGUUUGUGCAAUGCUAAAAUACAGAAUUUAUUAAGACAGAUUUUAAAAAUAUAAAUUCACUUUUCCAGACCUUAAUUGUUCCUAUUCAGUAUUAAACAUCGAAACAGCUAAAAGGAAACUUCUCCAUUUGAAUCGUGUGCCACAUGGUUGUUUUCUAAAAGCUAAAAAAUAAUCAAAUAAAUCCCUGCAGCCUC